AUGAGCUCGUCAUCAAGCAGGGAAACUGAGGCGCUGGGCUGCUCAGGGCUGGCCUGGUCACCAGAGCAGGGCCUGCUGGGAAGGAUGCAGUUCUUCUUGGGAAGGUCCCCAACAAACUACCGGCUGGGGGAUGGUCCGGUCCAAGUGUCCAGCUCAGGACUGCUACCACCUCUCUGAGAGCUCUUGGGACCAGCUGCUGAGUUCCCUGAGCCUCAAGUUUCUUGCCAGAUCAGUUCCUCUUUGAGCCCUAGUUGACGGACCCUGCUGGCUGGGGCAGGCGGCACCCAACGUGGGGCUCUAAAUCCUGGUCUGAAAGUCGCCCGAUUGAGCGGCCUCUCUCUUCUUAGAUUGCCACUCAGCCGAAGUGAAGAUCCGCAUCGUGAUCACCGCAAAAACACUCAACUGCAAGACUGCAAUACAGAUCCAUAAGAUCAAUUUACAGGACUUUGGGAGACCCACAUAAGAGCCUUACCUCGACGGAAAAGAGAACCUGCUACUGCUGUAACCCUUGCUGUCUUACUGGGAUUAGGCAUCGCUGGAGCAGAACCAGAGUAGCCUCCCUCGUCCUCUCUAAUCAACAUUACUCUGAACUCCGGUCUACGAUAGAUGAGGACAUACAAAACUUAGAAAAAGGAAUAUCUGCCUUAGAAAGCUCACUAGCCUCUUUGUCAGAAGUAGUGCUCCAAAAUAGAAGAGGACUAGACCUCCUGUUUUUACAACAGGGGGCUAUGCGCUGCUUUAAAGGAAGAAUGCUGUUUCUACACUGACCGCACAGGGGUCGUUAGAGACAGCAUGGCCAAAGUUAGGGAAGGGUUAGAGAAAGGAAAAAAGCAGAGAGAAC